rnacentral:tmRNA from 1 species
UCCUCUGCCAUAUCGCCAGACUAGCGAAGAAGUCGUCGGUUUUUGCAGUGGGGUCACCUUCAGACUGGAUCCUCAUGUCGAACGAAGCACUGUGGACCUGGGGACUGCUCAUCUGCGAGGUUGUCGGCAUUGCCGGCUUCUGGCUGGUCGGCGCGCGCAAGUGGUGGGGAUGGGCAAUCGUGCUCGCCCACUCGUUUCCGUGGCUUGCCUACGCGAUCGUGUUCAACAAGCCGGGCUUCAUCGCCAUGAGCUCACUGUGGAUCGUCACCCACACCCGCAACAUGGUGCGUUGGCAACGUGCCCACAAGCGGGACUUCGCUCUCGCCGCCUAACACCGGUGAGACGCUGCACUAACCUGCUGAUGGGUUAGGCCGGGGAAACUCGGUGCAGCGCCAUUUACAUCAGCCUCUCUGCACGGCUUGGCCGCUUAGCUGUGUGGAUCCGUCGAAGCGGCUGGCCAAGCAUCAGCCUGCCGGUUGGCGGGUGCGAGGCGAGACCCAAACAACCAGGCUAAGCAUGUAGUCCUGACUGUGGAGGACUUGCGGACGCGGGUUCGAUUCCCGCCGCUUCCACCA